GUUGCAAUGCUGGGCAGUGGCUGUGAGCUGCAGAUCUCAGUUGGUCAUGCCACUGUGAGGAGAAGCAGCCAGCCCUCUCCAGUGUGUGAUGUCACUAAUCUGGGAAGCUGAGUAGGUUAGGUGGGUGAAAUGCAUUUUCAGCUUACAAUAGAUUUAUUGGCAUAUCACCCUGAGGAGCAUCUGUAUAUAAUAUGUGGUUGAGUGCAUCAAGUCUUACCAUCCUUUAGUGGUGUACCAAUAUCCUCUUCAAGUUCCCUGGUAUCAGUUAAUAUUUAGUGUACUUCCUCUGCUGUACUGUCUCCUUAGAAGGACUUCACCCCAUAUGACUUUAACUGCUUAACAAAUACUCAGCUCACUUUUGAACCUCAGUUCAUACUUAACAUGGCCUGUUACUUAUAUUUAGAAGCCCAGGCAAUUAGAUUUAAGACCCAAACUGAGCCCAUCAUUCCUUGCUCAAACCCUAUUCCUACCUACCUGAAUCUACUAGCUCUCCAGUGUUUACUGUUUGUGUUAUAAUGACACCACUAUCCACCCUGGCAAGUCAAAAUUUUAUAGAUAUCCUAGAAUUUUUUCCCUUUCACAUACCAGUGUCUCAGAGUUACCCAUCUCCUAUGGAUCCCUUCCCCCAUAUUGGAGGUUGAAUCUAGGGCCUCAUACUUGCUAUGCAAUGUUCUACCACUGAGCUACAUCACCAGCACUUUUCUUUUUAAAUCUUGCUUUGAGACAGCGUCUUGCUAAGUUGCCCGGGCUGGCCUCAAACUUGC
rnacentral:lncRNA from 1 species